GAUGAAGAACGUAGCGAAAUGCGAUAAGUAGUGUGAAUUGCAGAAUUCAGUGAAUCAUCGAAUCUUUGAACGCACAUUGCGCCCUUCGGUAUUCCAAAGGGCAUGCCUGUUCGAGCGUCAUUUGUACCCUCAAGCUUUGCUUGGUGUUGGGCGUCUUGUCUCUCUCCCGAGACUCGCCUUAAAAUCAUUGGCAGCCGGCCUACUGGUUUCGGAGCGCAGCACAUUAUUUGCGCUCUUGUCCAGCCGCGGUCGCGCGUCCAUGAAGCUUCUUUCAAACUUUUGACCUCGGAUCAGGUAGGGAUACCCGCUGAACUUAAGCAUAUCAAUAAGCGGAGGA
rnacentral:misc_RNA from 1 species